rnacentral:rRNA from 1 species
CCUACGGGUGGCAGCAGUAGGGAAUUUUCGUCAAUGGGCGCAAGCCUGAACGAGCAAUGCCGCGUGAACGAGGAAGGUCUUCGGAUCGUAAAGUUCUGUUGAAGGGGAAAAAGAGCGGAGAGAGGAAAUGCUUUCUGAUUGAUAUUACCCUUCGAGGAAGUCACGGCUAACUACGUGCCAGCAGCCGCUGUAAUACGUAGGUGGCGAGCGUUAUCCGGAAUGAUUGGGCGUAAAGGGUGCGUAGGCGGCCUGCUAAGUCUGGAGUGAAAGGUACCGGCUCAACCGGUACAGGGUGUGGAGACUGGCGGGGUAGGGGGCAGGAGAGGGCAGGGGAAAUCCAUGGGUAGCGGGAAAAUGCGU